CAGAACACGAAGAGGAAGUAGAUAUUCUCAACUUUAGCGAGCCAUUAAAAAUAAACAUUAAGAAAGAACAGGAGGAGAAACAAGAGGAGAUGAAGUUCUACUUGGCUUCCUUGCCUGCAUCAGAGUUUGUGAGGGACACUGCGGAGAAGAUAGGGAUUUCUUUUCAGCCUGCUGAGGUACAAAAGAAUGUUUAUGCAUCGGUAAUAGAAGAUAUGAUUUUAAAGGCCACUGAACAGCUUAUGAGUGAUAUCCUACGGCAAGCACUGGCUGUGGCAUACCAGACAGCUCCUCACAACAGG